AUUUUUCAUCUUGGUUUCCCUCUUUUUUUUUGUAUGUCAUUUUGAUUACUGUUCAAAGUUAUUUUAUUAGCUGUGACUCUUUUAUAACAAGAAAAAACACCCAAAGCAUACCUUAAAAUAAACAAGGUGGCAAUCUAAUACUUAAAGAACACUGUAUUUAUGUGUUACAGAAAUAACAUUGUUUGUUCAGACUUGGUGAGAGAGAUGGGAAUACAUUGUACGUUGGUGGAAGAAGACAUAUGCCUUUUAGGUCACGGAAUAGUUUUCAUGCUCAACUACCACAAGUACAAAACAACUUGAACAUAACAGGAGCAGGACGGCUUUUUGUUACUGCCAGAAAUCCCCAGAUGUAGGAGGAAGGGAAGUCCCAGUAGUAUCUAUGACUUCUUGUGUAUUUUCUGUUGCUUGGAGAACCUGCCAUGCAUAUAAUAAUCAGGACUUUGUGCUUGAGGUCAUGCUGGUUCAGUGAAUUUAUACCCAAGCCGAUGUUUUCUGUUAGACUGUUCUGAAUCUUCUGACAGUCACAGAUAGGCCAAAGUGGCUCAAUGGUUCAACAUGCUUGUCGCCCUCCUCCACCCUUUUUUUUUUGUUUGUUUUAAUGUUUUGGGGAAUAUUUAAGAGAGAACAUAAAUUGCCCAAGCGUCUUGUAUGUAGCAGGGGAUUUCAUUAAAAAAAAAAGAAAAAAAUCCAAACACACAAAUCCAACCAAGCAUAUGGAG
rnacentral:lncRNA from 1 species